AGGACUUUACCAGGAAGAAAGCACAACACCUACCACUCAGUAUAGACAAUGUGGGCAUUGAGGUGGUCUCCACAUACAAGUACCUCGGUGUCCACAUUGACAAUAGAUUGGACUGGUCGGUGCAGGUAAAUGCAGCGUAUAAAA